AUGGGCGAGCCUGACGGAGCACGCCGCGUGAGUGAUGAAGGUCUUCGGAUCGUAAAACUCUGUUAUCAGGGAAGAACAAAUGUGUAAGUAACUGUGCACAUCUUGACGGUACCUGAUCAGAAAGCCACGGCUAACUACGUGCCAGCAGCCGCGGUAAUACGUAGGUGGCAAGCGUUAUCCGGAAUUAUUGGGCGUAAAGCGCGCGUAGGCGGUUUUUUAAGUCUGAUGUGAAAGCCCACGGCUCAACCGUGGAGGGUCAUUGGAAACUGGAGACUUGAGUGCAGAAGAGGAAGUGGAAUCCAUGUGUAGCGGUGAAUGCGCAGAGAUAUGAGGACACAGUGCGAGCACUGCUGGGUCUGUACUGGACGCUUAUUUGCCAAAACCUGGGGGAUCAAACCGGAAUAUAAUA
rnacentral:rRNA from 1 species